UGCCAGCAGCCGCGGUAAUACGGAGGGUGCAAGCGUUGUUCGGAAUUAUUGGGCGUAAAGCGCGUGUAGGCGGUUCGUUAAGUCUGAUGUGAAAGCCCGGGACUCAACCCCGGAAGUGCAUUGGAAACUGGCGAACUUGAGUACGGGAGAGGAAAGUGGAAUUCCGAGUGUAGGGGCGAAAUCCGUAGAUAUUCGGAGGAACACCAGUGGCGAAGGCGGCUUUCUGGACCGGUACUGACGCUGAGGUACGAAAGCGUGGGGAGUGAACAGGAUUAGAUA
rnacentral:rRNA from 1 species